GGUUAAAUAUAAUCAAGGGCAAAUGGUGGAUGCCUCGACAUCAAAAGACGAUGAAGGACGUAGCAGCCUGCGAAAAGCUUCGGUGAGGUGGCAAGCAACCUGUGACCCGGAGAUAUCCGAAUGGGGAAACCCGUCUUGAUGGAAGAUCAAGACAUCAUUAUCUGAAUCCAUAGGAUAAUGAAGAAGACCUGGCGAAGUGAAACAUCUCAGUAGCCAGAGGAAAAGAAAAAAAUUUGCGAAUUGCAUAUUGCCGGUUUCCGAAAGGGAACCCGCGAUUUGCGAUUUGCUCAUUCCCUAAGUAGUGGCGAGCGAAAGGGGAAGAGCUCAAAUUCUGCAGACUAAACGCUUUAUUAAGUUUUCUGCCGGGGAUUGUUCCUUGGCAGGGAACUUAAUAAGCGCCUACGGGUGCAAGCCCAAUGCCUGCCGGAGGUUGUAAGAUAAACGCAUUUUAAGCCCUUGCAGGCUUAAGCAAAGACACAAAUUAUAUUUCCCUAGCCAAAGCUUUUGGAAAGAAGCGCCAAAGAAGGUGACAGCCCUGUCGGCGAAAGGGAUUAUAGCUUUGCAGUGUUUAUCUUGAGUACCACGGAACUCGUGAAAUUCUGUGGGAAUUAGCCGCGACUAUGCGGUAAAGCUAAAUACUUUUGAUGAUCAAUAGUGCACAAGUACCGUGAGGGAAAGGUGAAAAGCAGCCCGGUGAGGGCGAUGAAAUAGUAUCUGAAACCAUUUGCUUACAAUAAGUCGGAGCCCUGAGUUUAUCGAAGGGUGACGGCGUUCCUAUUGAAGAAUGAGCCAACGAGUUUGUGGAUGUUGCCAAGCUUAAGCCCGAACAGGGCGAAAGCGCAGUGAAAGCAAGGGUUAACCCCCGUUUUCGCUUGUUGAUUAUCCCCGUUUUUUGCCGGGAUAAUCAACUCGCGAAACUGUAGCAUUCACAAGACCCGAAACCAGGUGAUCUAGCCAUUGCCAGGGUGAACGCACUGUAACAGGUGCGGGAGGCCCGAACCCACGAGCCGUGCAAAACUCGGGGAUGAGCUGUGGUUAGGGGUGAAAUUCCAAUCGAACCUGGUAAUAGCUGGUUCUCCUCGAAAUAGCUUUUGGGCUAGCCCUGAACAGUAACCAUGGGGGUAGAGCACUGAAUAGAGGCAGAUGGAGAAAUCCUACUGUCUUUAACCAAACUCCGAAUACCAUGGCGGAAUGUUUAGGAGUCAGACUAUGCGGGCUAAGCUGCAUCAGUCAAAAGGGAAACAGCCCAGAUCACAAGCUAAGGUCCCUAAAUCGACGUUAAGUGUAAAAGGCGGUGAUUUGACUUUAACAACCAGGAGGUUGGCUUAGAAGCAGCCAUCCUUUAAAGAAAGCGUAACAGCUCACUGGUCAAGUUGGAUUGCGCCGAAAAUGUACCGGGGCUAAACGUCGUACCGAAGCUGUGGGUUUACUUGUCUUUUAUUAGACAUAUAAGCGGUAGAGGAGCUUUCCAUAAGCGCUGAAGGUUGUCCGCGAGGGCGGCUGGAGUUUAUGGAAGUGAGAAUGUUGGCAUGAGUAGCAAAAAGGCGGGUGAAAAUCCCGCCCACCGCAAGCCUAAGGUUUCCUGGGCAACGCGAAUCGACCCAGGGUUAGUCGAUCCUAAGGCGAGGCCGAAAGGCGUAGUCGAUGGAAAAGCAGGUUAAUAUUCCUGCACUAUCUAUGAGAAAACUGAUGAUGGACGCAUUUUGGAUAUUCAAACGUUCUAUGGUAUGGACGUUCCUUUACCCGCAAGGGUUGGGGAGAAGGCAAAGCUUCGGCCGAGUCAACUUGAGUUGAAGGGGUGCCUAGAAAAGGUCGUCAGCCUGUCUUUUAGAUAACCGUACUGCAAACCGACACAGGUAGGCGGGCAUAAGUGUGCCAAGGUGUACGAGAGAAUCCUCGUUUAGGAACUCGGCAAUAUAGCGUCCGUAAGUUAGCAAUAAGGACUGCCCAUCGCAAGAUGGGCCGCAGCUAAAGAUCUCAAGCGACUGUUUACCAAAAACUUAGGUCCCUGCAAAAGCGUAAGCUGAAGUAUAGGGGCUGAUGCCUGGCCAGUGUCAGAACGUUAAGGGGUGAGGUCAUCCUGCCGCAAGGCAGGGGCAGCUUUAAACCGAAGCGCUGAUGAACGCCGGCGAUAACUAUAAUCGUCCUAAGGUAGAAGGAAUUUUUCCCGAUAUGGAUUGGGGUUUGCUGCCUUAGUAAAAUUCGGCUAUAUGCUGGAAACUCUGGAGUAUUGAGGACUACUAUGGUAUAAUAAAGACAAAGAAUGACUAUUCCUUGUCUAAAAAUAUGCCAAGUAAAAAAGUUUCUCAUGCAGACAAUCAGCAGGAAAGAUUAAUUAAAAUAGGAUGGGUUAUCGGUUUUACCGAUGGUGAGGGGUGUUUCUCGGUUGGUUUUGUUAAACAAGCCGAUCGGAUAGAAAAACAUCGCAUCAGAAGAGGGUACAAAACCGGCUAUCAAAUCUUUCAUGAAUUUGCCGUUACGCAAGGUGCCAAAAGUUUGCAAUCUUUAAGAGAUUUGCAGCAGUUUUUUGGCAUCGGAAAGAUUUACAUUAAUACCAGAUAUGACAACCAUAAAGAGCAUUUAUAUCGUUAUGUCGUUCGCCGGCGUGAAGAUUUAUUGAAUGUUAUUAUCCCGUUUUUCCGCCAAUAUCAAAUGCGAACGGCAAAAAAUAACGAUUUUAAGAAAUUCGCUCGAUGUGUUGAGUUGGUAAAAAAAGGUUAUCAUCUGAAAUUUUCUGGAAUUAAUAAGAUUGCCAAAAUUGUCAGUACCAUGAACCGACAAAAAACCCGUAAUAAAUUGAUUAAAAUCCCCAGAGACUAUACGCCGAACUCUAAAAUCAAUUUAGAGAAGAUAUAGUCCCGACUGCAUGGCGACAUGCAGGGCAAAUUUAUUUGCCGUCUAAUAUAAAUUAGAUAAGACCCAAGCGAAAUUCCUUGUCGUGUAAGUUACGACCUGCACGAAUGGCAUAACGACUUGAGAACUCUCUCAACGAGGAACUCGGCGAAAUUACAAGUCCAGUGAAGAUGCUGGGUACCCACAGCUGGACGAAAAGACCCCGUGAAGCUUUACUACAAUUUGAUAUUGAAUUAUUAUUUCACCUGUUCAGAAUAGGUGGGAGCUCGCCGCAAGGCGGGCGCCAGUGAGAUACCACCCUCGUGAUAUGAUAAUUCUAAUCUCGCCCCCUGAAUCGGGGGAGGAGACAGUAUCUGACGGGUAGUUUAACUGGGGCGGUUGCCUCCUAAAAUGUAACGGAGGCGUUUACAAAGGUUGGCUAGGUUCGGAUGGAAAUCGAACCGAUAGCGCAAAGGCAUAAGCCAGCUUUACUGCGAGUCCCGCAAGACAAGCAGUUGCGAAAGCAGAACUUAGUGAUCCGACCGUGCGACAUAGGACGGCGGAAGCUCAACGGAUAAAAGCUACUCCGGGGAUAACAGGCUAGUCUGGUCCAAGAGUCCACAUCGACGACC
rnacentral:rRNA from 1 species